CAAUAGCGUAUAUUAAAGUUGUUGCAGUUAAAAGCUCGUAGUUGGAUUUCGGAGUGGGCCAGUUGGUCCGCCGCAAGGUGUGUUACUGACUGGUUUGCUCUUCUUCGCAAAGACUGCGUGUGCCCUUAAAUGAGUGUGCGUAGGAUUUACGACGUUUACUUUGAAAAAUUAGAGUGUUCAAAGCAGGCUAUUGCUUGAAUACAUGAGCAUGGAAUAAUGGAAUAGGACUUUGGUCCCAUUUUGUUGGUUUCUAGGGCCGAAGUAAUGAUUAAGAGGGACAAUUGGGGGCAUCCGUAUUUCGUUGUCAGAGGUGGAAUUCUUGGAUUGUCUUCCGACGAACUACUGCGAAAGCAUUUGCCAAGGAUGUUUUCAUUGAUCAAGAACGAAAGUAAGGGGAUCGAAGAUGAUCAGAUACCAU
rnacentral:rRNA from 1 species